CUACGGGGCGCUGCAGUGGGGAAUAUUGCACAAUGGAGGAAACUCUGAUGCAGCAACGCCGCGUGGAGGAUGACACUUUUCGGAGCGUAAACUCCUUUUAUAUAGGAAGAAGAUGACGGUACUAUAUGAAUAAGCGCCGGCUAACUCCGUGCCAGCAGCCGCGGUGAAUACGGAGGGCGCAAGCGUUACUCGGAAUCACUGGGCGUAAAGAGCGUGUAGGCGGAUUAAAAAGUCAGAAGUGAAAUCCUAUAGCUUAACUAUAGAACUGCUUCUGAAACUCUUAAUCUAGAGUAUGGGAGAGGUAGAUGGAAUUUCUGGUGUAGGGGUAAAAUCCGUAGAGAUCAGAAGGAAUACCGAUUGCGAAGGCGAUCUACUAGAACAUUAUUGACGCUGAGACGCGAAAGCGUGGGGAGCAAACAGGAUUAGAUACCCCUGUAGUC
rnacentral:rRNA from 1 species